rnacentral:rRNA from 1 species
AUUGAACGCUGGCGGCAGGCCUAACACAUGCAAGUCGAACGAGUGGCGGACGGGUGUGUAAUGUAUGGGAAACUGCCUGAUGGAGGGGGAUAACAACUGGAAACGGUAGCUAAUACCGCAUACCAUCAGAUGUGCCCAGGGUGGCUUCGCGAGUUGGUGGGGUAACGGCUCCCCAAGGCGACGAUGCCUAGCGGGUCUGAGAGGAUGACCAGCCACACUGGAACGUAGACACGGUCCAGACUCCGACGGUAGGCAGCAGUGGGGAAUAGUGCACAAUGGGCGAAAGCCUGAUGCAGCCAUGCCGCGUGUAUGAAGAAGGCCUUCGGGUUGUAAAGUACUUUCAGCGGGGAGGCGUUACCCGGAGAAGAAGCACCGGCUAACUCCGUGCCAGCAGCCGCGGUAAUAC